UAAUCCGGAUCUUCACUUCACUGUGGCUCACUUCUACCUCCUUCUUCUAAUGAAAAAUCAAAAAAAAUAAGAGAUCAUCAUUCAACGCGUUCGAUUGGACCCGUUCGAUUGGACCCGCUCGAUUGGACCCGGAAACGUCUCUCCUCUCAUCCAGACUUUAAUUGGUUGAGGUCUAAAUCGUGUCGACAAUUUGAGGUGCUCGAUCGUUUGUUCGUGUCUGGAUUCGAUAAUCAGAAUGGAGGAUAUUCGUUCUGGAACGGAUAAAACAACAGAUACAAAAUGCAUGCAUGUGUGAAUGAAGUGAAUGAGACCCUUGGAAUUUUUUUUCCUCAUUUCUGAGGUUUUUUUUGUAUACGUAUGAGACCUUUGUGAAGUAUGAGAAAGUAUGAGACCCGUGAACUUUUUUUCCUCAUUUCGGAAUGAGGUUUUUUUUAUAUACGUAUGAGAAUGAGACCCUUGUGAUAAUCAAUUUUUUUU